GGAAAGUGGCGGAUAUCACGACAAUGGCGCAAACCACGCUCCCAGAUCGUAAAUAUAAAACGUUUUUUGGAUUGAGAGCAGUGCAUUGCGGGAAUGGGCUGAAAAUGUUGAUAAAUGAAGUGAAGAAGACCAAUAAAGGAAACAAGUUACGGAAGACGCUAAAGUUGGAGAGAAAAAGAAAUAUGCUACUAGUCGCUAAACUCCAGAAGAUGAAGUUUAAGAACAAUCGACUGCAGAGGGCUAUGCCGUUUGAGGAAAGCAUUGACAUGGAACCACGACACUCGACCGCAAUUGACAUAGCGAUCAAUGGCAUUUCUGAAUUGAGGUAUAUUACAUGGAAACACAGAUCUGAUAAUUUUGAUGAUUAUUUCAGGUUGUCGAACAGAUGGCAGUAACUAUAAAUGGUGGUCACGAAACGAUAAUACCUAGUGGAUACAUCGUCGGUCGUAUAGCAAAUUCUACGUCGGUGGUUUUUCUGAUCGAU